GAUCCUGGCUCAGGAUGAACGCUAGCGGCAGGCUUAACACAUGCAAGUCGAGGGGCAGCGGGGAGUAGCAAUACUCCGCCGGCGACCGGCGCACGGGUGCGUAACGCGUAUGCAACCUACCUUUAACAGGGGCAUAACACUGAGAAAUUGGUACUAAUUCCCCAUAACAUUCGAGAAGGCAUCUUCUUGGGUUAAAAACUCCGGUGGUUAAAGAUGGGCAUGCGUUGUAUUAGCUAGUUGGUGAGGUAACGGCU
rnacentral:rRNA from 1 species